rnacentral:rRNA from 1 species
UACGGGGGGGGCAAGCGUUGUUCGGAAUUACUGGGCGUAAAGGGCUCGUAGGUGGCCAACUAAGUCAUACGUGAAAUCCCUCGGCUUAACCGGGGAACUGCGUCUGAUACUGGAUGGCUUGAGGUUGGGAGAGGGAUGCGGAAUUCCAGGUGUAGCGGUGAAAUGCGUAGAUAUCUGGAGGAACACCGGUGGCGAAGGCGGCAUCCUGGACCGGCAUUGACGCUGAGGCGCGAAAGCUAGGGGAGCAAACGGG